AUUGAACGCUGGCGGCAGGCCUAAUACAUGCAAGUCGAACGAGUGGCGGACGGGUGAGUAAUGUCUGGGAAACUGCCUGAUGGAGGGGGAUAACUACUGGAAACGGUAGCCAAUACCGCAUACCAUCGGAUGUGCCCUGAUGGGAUUAGCUUGUGGGUGGGGUAACGGCUCACCAAGGCAACGAUCCCUAGCCGAUCUGAGAGGGUGACCGGCCACACUGGAACUGAGACACGGUCCAGACUCCUACGGGAGGCAGCAGUGGGGAAUAUUGCACAAUGGGCGAAAGCCUGAUGCAGCCAUGCCGCGUGUAUGAAGAAGGCCUUCGGGUUGUAAAGUACUUUCAGCAGGGAGGCGGUACCCACAGAGAAAGCACCGGCUAACUCCGUGUCAGCAGCCGCGGUAAUUC
rnacentral:rRNA from 1 species